rnacentral:rRNA from 1 species
GACGAACGCUGGCGGCGUGCUUAACACAUGCAAGUCGAACGGAAAGGCCCUGCUUUUGUGGGGUGCUCGAGUGGCGAACGGGUGAGUAACACGUGAGUAACCUGCCCUUGACUUUGGGAUAACUUCAGGAAACUGGGGCUAAUACCGGAUAGGAGCUCCUGCUGCAUGGUGGUGGUUGGAAAGUUUCGGCGGUUGGGGAUGGACUCGCGGCUUAUCAGCUUGUUGGUGGGGUAGUGGCGUACCAAGGCUUUGACGGGUAGCCGGCCUGAGAGGGUGACCGGCAACAUUGGGACUGAGAUACGGCCCAGACUCCUACGGGAGGCAGCAGUGGGGAAUAUUGCACAAUGGGCGGAAGCCUGAUGCAGCAACGCCGCGUGCGGGAUGACGGCCUUCGGGUUGUAAACCGCUUUCGACUGUGACGAAGCGUGAGUGACGGUAAUGGGUAAAGAAGCACCGGCUAACUACGUG